AGAGUUUGAUCCUGGCUCAGGACGAACGCUGGCGGCGUGCCUAACACAUGCAAGUCGAACGAACCGCGGAGGGCUUGCUCUCCAAGGUUAGUGGCGAACGGGUGCGUAACACGUGAGAAACGUACCCACCGGUGGGGGAUAGCCGGCCCAACGGCCGGGUAAUACCGCAUGCGACGUCUUCCGGGCAUCCGGAGGGCGGGAAAGCAGCAAUGCGCCGGUGGAGCGUCUCGCGGCCUAUCAGCUUGUUGGUGAGGUAACGGCUCACCAAGGCUACGACGGGUAGCUGGUCUGAGAGGAUGACCAGCCACAUUGGGACUGAGACACGGCCCAGACUCCUACGGGAGGCAGCAGUGGGGAAUAUUGCGCAAUGGCCGAAAGGCUGACGCAGCGACGCCGCGUGCGGGAUGAAGGCCUUCGGGUCGUAAACCGCUGUCAGGAGGGACGAAACUCUGACGGUACCUCCAGAGGAAGCACCGGCUAACUCCGUGCCAGCAGCCGCGGUAAUACGGAGGGUGCGAGCGUUGUCCGGAAUCACUGGGCGUAAAGGGCGCGUACGCGGCACAGUAAGUAGGGGGUGAAAUCUCACGGCUCAACCGUGAAACGGCCCUCUAAACUGCUGCGCUUGAACACCGUAGAGGCAGAUGGAAUUUCCCGUGUAGCGGUGGAAUGCCUAAAUAUCCGGAAAAACACCAGUGGCCA
rnacentral:rRNA from 1 species